rnacentral:lncRNA from 1 species
GGUGAGCUAUGGGUUGAUUUUAAUCUUUUUCUAUAAUGAUUAGCUAUUCUGGCAAAUUUUAGUCAAGAGUUUUUUUACUCAAAAUUCAAUCAAACAUUUUUAAAGGCAGUGAUUGAACAAGAUCAUAUCUAGGGGCUGCAUUGCUAAUUAAAUUGAAUGGGAUCAAUUUUAGCUGAACAUUAAUGGUAAAAUUGCAUUGCUACAUUUCACUUCUCUGAAAAGUGCACGCUUCACUCCCCUAAGAACUUAUUUAUCAGCAAGUGACUGGAAGAAUUUGAACUCUGAAAGAAUUUGAACUCUGCAAACUAAUGCCAAAUCAAUGCUCUUGGCCACACAGAAACUUGUUAAUGGAGAACUAUGUUGGGUUAAAGGUUGCUGUACCUUCUCUGGGAAAUUUUGAUGCUGUGUCUGGUCUCUUGCUCAGCAGAUUGGACCACAAUGGUGGUAGGAAGGAGAAUCAGAAGGAUCAUCUUAAGGCUUCAGUUACAUAAUGUAGUGCUGCUGUAAAAAUAAUCCAGAUUUGUAGCUUGUAUUUGCAUUCAAUUUCCUGCUCUUACACUUUUUAAUAAAAUGUACAACUUUGUAUGUAGUUCUUUGAAU